UACGGGGGGGGCAAGCGUUGUUCGGAAUUACUGGGCGUAAAGGGCGCGUAGGCGGUUUGCUAAGUUGAAUGUGAAAACUCUGGGCUUAACCCAGAGCCUGCAUUCAAUACUGGCAGGCUAGAGUUCUGGAGGGGAUAGCGGAAUUCCUGGUGUAGCGGUGAAAUGCGCAGAUAUCAGGAAGAGCACCUAUGGCGAAGGCAGCUCUCUGGGACGGUACUGACGCUGAGACGCGAAAGCGUGGGGAGCAAACAGG
rnacentral:rRNA from 1 species